GUCGCGCGGCGGCGGCGGCAGCAGCAGCCAGUGUCAGGUGUCCGGCAGGUUUCUCAGGAGCUCUGACUGAACGGAAGUUCCCACAGGUUGACAGAGAUGGAGAACGGCUCAUUUAAUCGGCAGUCCUGGGCGACGCAGUCCUUGCGUGUUACCGCCAAGGAGCUGUCCAUCGCAGGACGUGGCAAAAGCACUGCGAUUGCAGAACGAUUCUCCAAGUACCAGAAAGCUGCCGAGGAGUCCAGUGCAGAGAAGAAAAAAGCA